UCAAGUUAUUAAGGGUGCAGGGCGGAUGCCUUGGCACUAGGAGCCGAUGAAGGACGUGAUAAGCUGCGAUAAGCUUCGGGGAGUUGCACGUAAACUUUGAUCCGAAGAUUUCCGAAUGAGGAAACUCACUUAGAGUAAUGUCUAAGUAUCAUUAAGUGAAUACAUAGCUUAAUGAGGGGAACUCAGGGAACUGAAACAUCUAAGUACCUGAAGGAAGAGAAAGAAAUUCGAUUCCGUAAGUAGCGGCGAGCGAACGCGGAUUAGCCCAAACCAAUAAAGUUUUCUUUAUUGGGGUUGCGGACAUAUCAUAACGAAGAGGUAUCGUAAUUGAAGAGGUUUGGAAAGACCCACCACAGAAGGUAAUAGUCCUGUAUGUUAAACGAGAAGACUUCAGAUAUGAUCCAGAGUACCACGGGACACGUGAAACCCUGUGGGAAGCAGGAGGGACCACCCUCCAAGGCUAAAUACUACCUAGUGACCGAUAGCGUAUAGUACCGUGAGGGAAAGGUGAAAAGAACCCCGGGAGGGGAGUGAAAUAGAACCUGAAACCCUGCACUUACAAGCUGUGGAAGCACAUUUCUUGUGUGACCGCGUACUUUUUGUAGAACGGGCCAACGAGUUACGUUAAGUAGCAAGGUUAAGCACUUAAGGUGCGGAGCCGUAGCGAAAGCGAGUUUUAACUGAGCGUUCAGUUACUUGACGUAGACCCGAAACCGGGCGACCUACCCAUGAGCAGGAUGAAGCGAAAGUAAAAUUUCGUGGAGGUCCGAACCCACGAGCGUUGAAAAGCUCGGGGAUGACUUGUGGGUAGCGGUGAAAUUCCAAUCGAGCCCGGAGAUAGCUGGUUCUCCCCGAAAUAGCUUUAGGGCUAGCCUCAAGGUGAGAGAUACGGAGGUAGAGCACUGAAUGUCCUAGGGGGUAUUGCACCUACCGAAGACUAUCAAACUCCGAAUGCCGUCAUCUUAUACUUGGGAGUCAGACUGUGGGUGAUAAGAUUCAUAGUCGAAAGGGCAACAGCCCAGAUCGUCAGCUAAGGUCCCUAAAUGUAAGUUAAGUGGUAAAGGAUGUGGGAUUGCACAGACAACCAGGAUGUUGGCUUAGAAGCAGCCACUCAUUCAAAGAGUGCGUAAUAGCUCACUGGUCGAGUGAUCCUGCGCCGAAGAUUUCCGGGGCUAAAACUUACUACCGAAGCUACGGCAUCAGUAAUGAUGGGUAGGGGAGCUUCCCAUACGGGUUGAAGCAUGACCGUAAGGACAUGUGGACAGUAUGGGAGUGAGAAUGUUGGCAUGAGUAGCGAGAUGUGGGUGAGAAUCCCACAGGCCGUAAACCCAAGGUUUCCAGGGGAAGGUUCGUCCGCCCUGGGUUAGUCGGGACCUAAGCUGAGGCCGAAAGGCGUAGGUGAUGGACAACAGGUUGAUAUUCCUGUACUACCGAUAACCGUUUGAGAGAAGGGAUGACACAGUAGGAUAAGCUAAGCACACUGUUGGUUAUGUGUGCCCAAGCAUUGAGGCAGUCAAAGUAGGCAAAUCCGCUUUGAUAAUGCUGGGAUGUGAUGGGGAGCGAAAUUUAGUAGCGAAGUAGCUGAUUUCACACUGUCAAGAAAAGUCUCUAUCGAGGUUAAAGGUACCCGUACCGCAAACCGACACAGGUGGGUGAGGAGAGUAUCCUAAGGCCAGCGAGAGAACUGUUGUUAAGGAACUCGGCAAAAUGACCCCGUAACUUAGGGAUAAGGGGUGCCACCAUCAGGUGGCCGCAGAGAAUAGGCCCAAGCGACUGUUUACCAAAAACAUAGGUUUCUGCUAAGUCGCAAGACGAUGUAUAGGAGCUGACGCCUGCCCGGUGCUGGAAGGUUAAGGGGAUCUGUUAGAGCAAUCGAAGCAGUGAACUUAAGCCCCAGUAAACGGCGGCCGUAACUAUAACGGUCCUAAGGUAGCGAAAUUCCUUGUCGGGUAAGUUCCGACCCGCACGAAAGGCGUAACGAUUUGGGCACUGUCUCAACAACAGACUCGGUGAAAUUGUAAUUCCGGUGAAGAUGCCGGAUACCUGCGACAGGACGGAAAGACCCCAUGGAGCUUUACUGUAGCUUGACAUUGGGUCUUGGUACUACAUGUACAGGAUAGGUGGGAGGCUUUGAAACCAGGACGCCAGUUUUGGCGGAGCCAUCCUUGGGAUACCACCCUUGUAGUACUGGGACUCUAACCAUAGGCCAUGAAUCUGGUCUUGGGACACUGUCAGGUGGGCAGUUUGACUGGGGCGGUCGCCUCCCAAAAGGUAACGGAGGCGCUCAAAGGUUCUCUCAGUACGGUCGGAAAUCGUACGUAGAGUGUAAAGGCAAAAGAGAGCUUGAUUGCAAGACAUACAGGUCGAGCAAGGAUGAAAAUCGGACUUAGUGAUCCGGUGGUUCUGCGUGGAAGGGCCAUCGCUCAACGGAUAAAAGCUACCCUGGGGAUAACAG
rnacentral:rRNA from 1 species